CCUACGGGAGGCAGCAGUGAGGAAUAUUGGUCAAUGGACGAGAGUCUGAACCAGCCAAGUAGCGUGAAGGAUGACUGCCCUAUGGGUUGUAAACUUCUUUUAUAUGGGAAUAAAAUGUUCCACGUGUGGGAUUUUGUAUGUACCAUAUGAAUAAGGAUCGGCUAACUCCGUGCCAGCAGCCGCGGUAAUACGGAGGAUCCGAGCGUUAUCCGGAUUUAUUGGGUUUAAAGGGAGCGUAGGUGGAUUGUUAAGUCAGUUGUGAAAGUUUGCGGCUCAACCGUAAAAUUGCAGUUGAAACUGGCAGUCUUGAGUACAGUAGAGGUGGGCGGAAUUCGUGGUGUAGCGGUGAAAUGCUUAGAUAUCACGAAGAACUCCGAUUGCGAAGGCAGUUCACUGGACUGCAACUGACAGUGAGGCUCGAAAGUGUGGGUAUCAAACAGGAUUAGAUACCCGAGUAGUC
rnacentral:rRNA from 1 species